rnacentral:rRNA from 2 species
GGUUAAGCGACUAAGCGUACACGGUGGAUGCCCUGGCAGUCAGAGGCGAUGAAGGACGUGCUAAUCUGCGAAAAGCGUCGGUAAGGUGAUAUGAACCGUUAUAACCGGCGAUGUCCGAAUGGGGAAACCCAGUGCAAUUCGUUGCACUAUCGUUAACUGAAUACAUAGGUUAACGAGGCGAACCGGGGGAACUGAAACAUCUAAGUACCCCGAGGAAAAGAAAUCAACCGAGAUUCCCCCAGUAGCGGCGAGCGAACGGGGAGCAGCCCAGAGUCUGAAUCAGCUUGUGUGUUAGUGGAACGGUCUGGAAAGUCCGACGGUACAGGGUGAUAGUCCCGUACACCAAAAUGCACAGGUUGUGAACUCGAAGAGUAGGGCGGGACACGUGGUAUCCUGUCUGAAUAUGGGGGGACCAUCCUCCAAGGCUAAAUACUCCUGACUGACCGAUAGUGAACCAGUACCGUGAGGGAAAGGCGAAAAGAACCCCGGCGAGGGGAGUGAAAAAGAACCUGAAACCGUGUACGUACAAGCAGUGGGAGCACCUUCGGGUGUGACUGCGUACCUUUUGUAUAAUGGGUCAGCGACUUAUAUUCUGUAGCAAGGUUAACCGUAUAGGGGAGCCGCAGGGAAACCGAGUCUUAACUGGGCGUUAAGUUGCAGGGUAUAGACCCGAAACCCGGUGAUCUAGCCAUGGGCAGGUUGAAGGUUGGGUAACACUAACUGGAGGACCGAACCGACUAAUGUUGAAAAAUUAGCGGAUGACUUGUGGCUGGGGGUGAAAGGCCAAUCAAACCGGGAGAUAGCUGGUUCUCCCCGAAAGCUAUUUAGGUAGCGCCUCGUGAAUUCAUCUUCGGGGGUAGAGCACUGUUUCGGCUAGGGGGUCAUCCCGACUUACCAACCCGAUGCAAACUACGAAUACCGAAGAAUGUUAUCACGGGAGACACACGGCGGGUGCUAACGUCCGUCGUGAAGAGGGAAACAACCCAGACCGCCAGCUAAGGUCCCAAAGUCAUGGUUAAGUGGGAAACGAUGUGGGAAGGCACAGACAGCCAGGAUGUUGGCUUAGAAGCAGCCAUCAUUUAAAGAAAGCGUAAUAGCUCACUGGUCGAGUCGGCCUGCGCGGAAGAUGUAACGGGGCUAAACCAUGCACCGAAGCUGCGGCAGCGACACUAUGUGUUGUUGGGUAGGGGAGCGUUCUGUAAGCCUGCGAAGGUGACCUGUGAGGGUUGCUGGAGGUAUCAGAAGUGCGAAUGCUGACAUAAGUAACGAUAAAGCGGGUGAAAAGCCCGCUCGCCGGAAGACCAAGGGUUCCUGUCCAACGUUAAUCGGGGCAGGGUGAGUCGACCCCUAAGGCGAGGCCGAAAGGCGUAGUCGAUGGGAAACAGGUUAAUAUUCCUGUACUUGGUGUUACUGCGAAGGGGGGACGGAGAAGGCUAUGUUAGCCGGGCGACGGUUGUCCCGGUUUAAGCAUGUAGGCUGGUUAUCCAGGCAAAUCCGGAUAAUCAAGGCUGAGGUGUGAUGACGAGGCACUACGGUGCUGAAGUAACAAAUGCCCUGCUUCCAGGAAAAGCCUCUAAGCAUCAGGUAACAUCAAAUCGUACCCCAAACCGACACAGGUGGUCAGGUAGAGAAUACCAAGGCGCUUGAGAGAACUCGGGUGAAGGAACUAGGCAAAAUGGUGCCGUAACUUCGGGAGAAGGCACGCUGGUGUGUAGGUGAAGCCCCUGCGGGUGGAGCUGAGACCAGUCGAAGAUACCAGCUGGCUGCAACUGUUUAUUAAAAACACAGCACUGUGCAAACACGAAAGUGGACGUAUACGGUGUGACGCCUGCCCGGUGCCGGAAGGUUAAUUGAUGGGGUUAUCCGUAAGGAGAAGCUCUUGAUCGAAGCCCCGGUAAACGGCGGCCGUAACUAUAACGGUCCUAAGGUAGCGAAAUUCCUUGUCGGGUAAGUUCCGACCUGCACGAAUGGCGUAAUGAUGGCCAGGCUGUCUCCACCCGAGACUCAGUGAAAUUGAACUCGCUGUGAAGAUGCAGUGUACCCGCGGCAAGACGGAAAGACCCCGUGAACCUUUACUAUAGCUUGACACUGAACAUUGAGCCUUGAUGUGUAGGAUAGGUGGGAGGCUUUGAAGCGUGGACGCCAGUCUGCGUGGAGCCAACCUUGAAAUACCACCCUUUAAUGUUUGAUGUUCUAACGUUGGCCCCUUACCGGGGUUGCGGACAGUGUCUGGUGGGUAGUUUGACUGGGGCGGUCUCCUCCCAAAGCGUAACGGAGGAGCACGAAGGUUAGCUAAUCCUGGUCGGACAUCAGGAGGUUAGUGCAAUGGCAUAAGCUAGCUUGACUGCGAGCGUGACGGCGCGAGCAGGUGCGAAAGCAGGUCAUAGUGAUCCGGUGGUUCUGAAUGGAAGGGCCAUCGCUCAACGGAUAAAAGGUACUCCGGGGAUAACAGGCUGAUACCGCCCAAGAGUUCAUAUCGACGGCGGUGUUUGGCACCUCGAUGUCGGCUCAUCACAUCCUGGGGCUGAAGUAGGUCCCAAGGGUAUGGCUGUUCGCCAUUUAAAGUGGUACGCGAGCUGGGUUUAGAACGUCGUGAGACAGUUCGGUCCCUAUCUGCCGUGGGCGCUGGAGAAUUGAGGGGGGCUGCUCCUAGUACGAGAGGACCGGAGUGGACGCAUCACUGGUGUUCGGGUUGUCAUGCCAAUGGCACUGCCCGGUAGCUAAAUGCGGAAGAGAUAAGUGCUGAAAGCAUCUAAGCACGAAACUUGCCCCGAGAUGAGUUCUCCCUGAGACUUUAAGUCUCCUGAAGGAACGUUAAAGACGAUGACGUUGAUAGGCCGGGUGUGUAAGCGCAGCGAUGCGUUGAGCUAACCGGUACUAAUGAACCGUGAGGCUUAACCUU